rnacentral:rRNA from 1 species
AGUGAACGCUGGCGGUAGGCCUAACACAUGCAAGUCGAACGACAGCACAGUAAGAGCUUGCUCUUACGGGUGGCGAGUGGCGGACGGGUGAGGAAUACAUCGGAAUCUACUUUUUCGUGGGGGAUAACGUAGGGUAACUUCCGCUGAUACCGCAUACGACCUACGGGUGAAAGCAGGGGAUCUUCGGACCUUGCGCGAUUGAAUGAGCCGAUGUCGGAUUAGCUAGUUGGCGGGGUAAAGGCGCACCAAGGCGACGGUCCGUAGCUGGUCCGAAAGGAUGAUCAGGCACACUGGAACUGAGACACGGUCCAGACACCGACGGUGAGCCGCGGUGGAGAAUACUGCGCAAGGGGGCAGUGCCUGAUCCUGCCCAACCGGGUGGGGGCAGAAGGACUUCGGGUUGUAGAGCCCUUUUGUUGGGAAAAAAAAGCAGCACGUUAAUACCCCGCUGUUCUGACGGUACCCAAAGAAUAAGCACCGGCUAACUUCGUG